GUCUGAAUAGCUUAUAAGAGCAUAAUAUUGAAGAUAUUAAGGAAAUAGAUACUAUUUUUAGAUA
rnacentral:tRNA from 1 species